CGUGCCAAAAUGGACACUCUGUCCAAACAUCAGACGCGCAAUUGAGUUGUAACCGUGACGCAAUUUAUUGAGAGCGGUAAAUUAGCUAACCUCUCUGUUGUUGCGGGCGGUGCGUGACAACCUAAUGUGUUGUACGUCACAUGGCAAAAUGCCUGGAUGAGAGGCAGGACAACAUUUUGAGAGCCUGUACCUUGUUUUGCCUUAGCAAAUCUCAUCUUACAGCUAAAGAUGAACUCAGUCCGGCAGAAAAAUGAAGCGGGCGGUUCAAUUUUGACCAUUUCGAUUAGCGGCUCCUCUCGCUGCACCAACCAAUAAAAUGAUCUGAGACGCGCCGUAGCAUAUGUACACUUAUGUGGGCAUACAUAUCAACUUACUGCUUAUAAGACUAAAAGCGAGGAUAACUUUUGAUCGCUGCAACCCCAGCGGCUCUGGAGUUAACCGUAUAGCCGGUCCGGCGCACCUCAACAACAGAAGUAACAGCACUGUUAGCCAAUCCACUCAGAUGUACACACACGCUAGUACGUAUUUCGCUUGGAUGCAGGUAUUAGGAGAGACAACCGCAAUCUUGAACGCUGCUACAUCAAUUUCAACAUCUGUCGCCGUCAUUGGCUUGUAUGCUGGCUUCUGUUGGACGUAUGAGAACUCCGCGCUGUCCUACUUCACGCUCCGCCAGUCGAAGAAAUUCGAACAAUCAUAGCUUUUCAAUAGGCCCGCAAAUGGGGCUUCAACAACUGAGGCCGUAACAGGAAGGGUUAGGAUACUGUAAGGGACCCUUUUGGUAGGGGACGAAAUGGUGCCGCUUCAUCUUAGAGGAUACAGCACUAUUACAUUGAAGCAUAUAAAAAUGCAGAGUCCAAAAAUUUAUAAUAAGAUCAAGAUAGACUUAUCAUUCUGCCUCAUUAGCUGCCCGAGCGUGUACACAGAGAACACUUGCAGAUCACAGAUGCAGCCAACCUUUGCAAAUAUCAAAAGAAAAUUGCAUCGGGAAAAUUGAGUACAGCUCCCAUGUUUGCUACUCACGCAAUACCGUUCAUAGGCACCGAGACGACGGCAACGAUUCCGUGAUAGAUGGAUAUUUAUGUUGAAUCCUUCAUAUAAGUACCUCGUCUGGUCGAUGGAUGUUUUUGGAGAUUCACUGCAAUUGAACCAUGCGUUCAUUCGCCCGCCAUUAACUUCAGGAACAAGCUCUAACGUCAGUGCUAUAGAUUAUUUACUGGAUGCGGUGAUAUUUCAUAAAAACAACAUGUGUUCUUACCCCAGAAGUCAAACGUAUCGUUACUGUGAUCUAAACCUUACGGAGUUUACAAUCUAGCGAAAGAGACCAUUUGAAUGCGGUGUGGCGAUGCUCCCCGAUCGAGCUUGAGCAACAACCACGUAGGUUACCAUUCAUUUCUAGCCAGCCUGGGGUUCUAUCUAUCUAUCUAUCUGUCGAACGGAGAAUGAACACAGAAGAAAAACUUCGUUGGAUGAUUCGGUGUUGGAAUUCUUGCUACGCACGGUGUCUAGAACAUCAUGAAGGUAGAAGGUAGCAUUCUUGUCGUUGUACACGAUGUCUCCGUCAAAUAAAUGACAUUAUCAAGCAUCGGUCGAACAUCAGUGAACAAAACAAGGCAAGGCAGGAAGGUUGCAAAGGAACGAAGCCUGACAGCUGGCCUGUCCUCGAUUGCAGGAGCGUUGGUUAUUUUGACUUAUGCACGCACUUAAGGUAGCACUCAACCUUGAAUAAAAGUGCACAGUUUGAUCUCUACGUACAAAUACAGUAAAGCUAAAAAAAAAAAAGUAAUAAAAUGAAAGGCCGAGACAAAUUUGGUCAUUACGAAAGCAAAGCACAAAUGAUAUCCAAUCAAAACGCAUGAAAAUUGAGCGGAUUCACAAACACAAUUGGAAAACCCUUUGUCACCGAGCUCAUUAGACCUAUCAAACAUUUAUGAAGACCCAGAUCUCAUAACAGGAAUUGUUUGCACAGGAAAAUAUAUCCACCUGUCUCUGCUUCCAAUUCAGUAACUUAAGUUUAAGUGGCAUUGCCUUAUUAGUAUUAAGAACGCCAUAAUCGGAGAAUCUUAUAGAAAACUGC